CGGCCCUGGACCAAUGAGUCUCCUCUGUGCUUCCCUGCUACAGGAUGCUAUGGCCAGGAGGGGUUAACACCAGGAAGAGGCUAAAUGCCUACUUUAGCUCUGUCCAACCUUAGCCAUCAUCCAAUCACCACAGCCUACAAGAACCCUACACCAACAUCCAGUCCCUGCCGGAUCGUUAUGCCUACAUGGACCCUUCAGCUACAAGCUCUGCCACCGUCUUCACUCUGCUGCCUGUUGACCAACGUCAGGAUCCCUCAGCACCCCAGGACCCCCACCAGCUAUCCCCUCACCCUGCACUUAAACAAUAAACUUUGGGAAAGAAAAGUCUUAGUCUGCUUUUUGGGUUCUGCCAUAAAUAUGUGACAGAUUUAGAACCAAUUUAGAUUUGUUUUUGCUCCAUUUAACUCAAAGUCACAAAAAUGAACCCUAAAUGUUGGCACAUGACAAGCUGAAGCGAAACACUAAUCAUAAGCAUUAAAUUAGCUUAAACUGCCUGAUUAAUAUUGUGAGCAUGCUGACGCUAGCAUUCAACUCUAAGCAUCACAGGGCCACUAGCGUAACUGUAGGCUAUUGUAUGGAUUCAAAAUGUUUUACUCUCUCUCUCUUAUGCACCAUUUCAUUCACACACUCAACACACACUCAUGUAUUUGCAUGUUCCAACUGCUCGUUUAAGAAAUCACUGUAUGUGGCUUGUUUCCAGGUCAAACAGCACAGACAGAAGUAGACCUCAUCUUGUCCCCCAGUAGUGCUUGUCUCAUUACAUCAUUCACUGUCUGUAACACAUACUCCUCUCAUAUUUACGUCAUCUAACCUCAUUUAGUUGCUUGCUGGUUCUCACAUGGGAAAAAAAAAGCAAUAAA